AUAGAAGAGAUUCUGCCACGGACAGAAUUACAGUAGAGAUUCUCGCCACUGCCUGCUCCCCUGCCCUGCCUCGCGCCACGGCACGAGAACGCAAGAGGGAGACAAGCGAAAGCGACAGUCCCGCGGGCAAAGGGUUGGAGCGCGUGAGAACGUGGUUGUGAUCAGACGGAGGACGCAGAUCUGAGCGAUUUCGCUGGAGCUGAAAAGAAAGCAGGGAAGAUCUACUUACCCAAUGAUUAUGCAGCACGUCAUGUAGCACUGAAGCUUGCGCCCAUCAGCUUUGUCUCUCCAAAACGAGAUUUUCAUCUUUAAGACCUGUCAAAAUACCGUCCUUUUCUUCCCAAGUACUCCUGCUUUCUCCAUCAGUUUCACCCACGUGUGCUGUGGCAGAUUAACCUCUUCGUAAACUCUGAUCAUAGAUUUAAGGAUUAGUCAGCAAAAAAAAUUUUGGAACAGGAAAAAGUCAUAAAGGAAGGAACUUGAAUAUUCAUACUUGGAAAUAAGAAUUAGCCUUUCAGUGACUUGCUCCGUUACCGUUUGAGGAGGUACGAACUUAUUUCUUCAGUCGUGCAGGGGAUGCGGGGACCCCUCCCCAAGUCGGUAAGGCCCACGAGGUGAGGGGGACGUAUUUAAUUCACUGCUGGGUGUGGAAGGAAGAUACCAAAGCUCAGCUCUUCAGGAGUACCUGGCCGCUCUCUGCGCUGCAAUAGUGACAGAAAUCACCUGAAUACCUUCGAGAAGGGGCAAACUGGGGAGCCCGCGGCUUUCGCCGGGACAGACACAGUAA